UACAGAGGGGGCAAGCGUUGUUCGGAAUUACUGGGCGUAAAGGGCGCGUAGGCGGCCUGCUAAGUCGAACGUGAAAUCCCUGGGCUCAACCCCAGGAACUGCGUCCGAUACUGGUUGGCUUGAAUCCGGGAGAGGGAUGUGGAAUUCCAGGUGUAGCGGUGAAAUGCGUAGAUAUCUGGAGGAACACCGGUGGCGAAGGCGACAUCCUGGACCGGCAUUGACGCUGAUGAGCGAAAGCUAGGGGAGCGAACAGG
rnacentral:rRNA from 1 species